GGUGCGGAAGGUCCUCUCCUCUACUUUCAAGUGGCCUUACCGAGAGAUGAAUUCUCAGAUGCAGAAAUUGUUUGAAGAAUUAGAGCACUUUGCAGAGAGAGCAGACAACCUUCGACUGGAAAAAGAUGCUUCUGUCAAUGUUUCGCGUGCAACACCUACAACUGCUGCUUUUGAUGAUUCUGCUAUUUGUGGAAGAGCUGAUGAAAAACAGAAUCUUGAAGAGUAUUUGCUGUCAGAAGAUGCCGUUGAUGAUGGUGGAAAUAGAAUAGGAGUGCUUGCCAUUGUUGGCAUGGGAGGACUUGGAAAAACAACUCUUGCUGCACUCCUAUACAAUGAUUCUCAAGUUAAAGAUAAGUUUGAUGUGAAAGCAUGGGCAUCUGUUUCCAAAGAUUUUGAUGUUGUCAAGCUGGCAAAAUCUCUUCUUGAAUCUGUCACGUCUGCAGCACCAAAUUUGGAUAACUUCGAUACCUUGCGAGCAGAAUUGCAAAAUAACUUGUCGGGUAAAAAGUUUCUGCUUGUGCUGGAUGAUAUAUGGAAUGCAGGGUAUGUUGAUUGGACCAACUUAAUGCCCAUUUUUAAUGUUGGGAAAACGGGAAGCAAAAUCAUUGUCACAACACGACAUGAAAAUGUUGUGGAUGCUGUAAGACCUACGAAGACCUGCUUUCUCAAACCACUGGCCGAUGAAGAUUGUUGGACUUUGCUUUACAAACAUGCACUUCCAGCACACAGAUGCACUGAACUGUCAUCCAACCUUGAAGAUAUUGGUAGAAAAAUUGCCAAAAAGUGUGGUGGCUUGCCAUUAGCUGCAGUUGCUUUGGGGGGUCUUCUUGGCACAAAGGUAUCAAGCGAGCACUGGACUAAAGUCUUAAACAGCAACAUUUGGAAUCUUACAGUGAAAGACGUGCAGCCAGCUCUUCUUUUGAGCUAUCAUUUCCUUCCAGCUUCUUUGAAACAAUGCUUUGCUUAUUGUGCAAUUUUCCCAAAGAACUCGAUGCUGCGAAAAGAGAAGUUAGUUCAACUAUGGAUGGCUCAAGGCUUUGUUACUGUGCCCCAAGAUAAGAAAAGCAUUGAAGAAGUAGGAGAUGAAUAUUUUGAUGAACUAGUGGCAAGGUCAUUGAUACGACGUUCUGUGGAAGGGCAACACUUUGAAAUGCAUGACCUCAUCAACGAUUUGGCAACCAUGGUUUCUUCUCCAUAUUUUAAGAGGUGCGAGGAUCAAAAGGCCGUUGAAAAUCUAAACAAAAUUCGUCAUUUAUCUUAUGAUAAAACUAUGUUUAACCAUUUUGACGAACUUCAUUCCCUUCAUGGAUUGAAAGGCUUACGUACACUCAUAGCAUUACCAUUUUAUGCUCCGUACCAGCGCCAUUACCUAGCGAACGGGGUAUUGCAUGAGUUGCUAGCAUUGAAACAGUUGCGGGUGUUAUCCCUGUCACACUACUUGAAUAUCACUGUUUUGCCAAAUUCUAUUGGCGAUUUAAAGCACUUGCGAUACCUAGAUCUAUCUUGCAGUGGAAUUGAAAGGUUGCCUCCUGCAAUAUGCAAGCUCUACAAUCUACAGACCUUGUUGUUAUCUUAUUGUGUUGCUCUUACUGAGUUGCCUGAGGAGAUGGGAAAAUUGGUGAAUCUACGCCACCUUGCUAUUGAUUAUUGUUGGGCUCUUACUAAGUUGCCUGAGGAGAUGGGAAAAUUGGUGAAUCUACGGCGCCUUGAUAUUCAUGGUACUGAAUUGCAGGAGAUGCCCGUAGAGAUAGCCAAACUAGAAAAUCUGCAAACUCUGAGUGGUUUUAUUGUCAGCAAACAACAACAUGGACUUAAGCUUGCAGAAAUGAGAAAAUUUCCUCAUUUACAAGGUAAACUCUGCAUCUCAAAACUAGAAAAUGUUAUUGAUCCGUCUGAUGCUUGUCAAGCCAAUUUGAAGGAGAAAAAGCAAAUUGAGGAGUUAUCAUUGGAAUGGAGUGAUUCCAUUUUGGAAGACUCUCAUCAAGUUGUACUUGAACAUCUGCAGCCCUCAACAAAUUUGAAGAAAUUGACCGUUAAAGGCUAUGGUGGAACUUGUUUCCCAAAUUGGUUGGGUGAUUCCUCGUUUGGCAACAUAGUGAGUUUGAGGAUUAAAAAUUGUGAUCAUUGUUCUUCAUUGCCACCUCUUGGACAACUACAUAGUCUAAAAGAACUCUUCAUUUCGGAUAUGAGAUCAGUGAAGAGUAUUGGGUCUGAAUUUUACGGAGGUAAUACCCCUUCAUUCCAACCGUUUCCCUCGUUGGAGACUUUGAGUUUUGAGUGGAUGGCAGAGUGGGAGGAAUGGAACAUGAUAGAUGGUAUAACUACUGAGUUCCCCCGUCUAUCACACUUAUCUCUGGGUUUCUGUCCGAAGCUGAAAGGAACUUUACCCAGCAAUCUUCCUUGCUUGGUUACACUUGAUGUACGGGAUGGUAGUGAGUUUUCAGGAGAAGUGGAUAACAGACACAUAAUGAGACCAUUGAAUCUAUUCAAUUUUAACUCUCUUCAACAAUUAACUCUCUUUCAAAUUCGUUCUCUGACGUCCUUCCCGAGCAAUGGUCUGCCCAAAGCGCUAAAGACACUUUCUAUCCAAUGUUGUCAGAGCCUUGAAUUCCCAAGUCAUGAGUUCCUUCAUAGUUGCAAGGCACUUGAGGAAUUGGUGAUAUCGAGUAGCUGUUGCUCGCUGACGUCAUUUCCCUUAGGUUCUCUCCCUGUGCUCAAGCGUCUUGUACUCAGGCGAUGUGAAAAUUUGAAAUCAAUUUCAAUUUUGGAAGAAGAAGCAGCAGGCCAAUCUCUCAUGUUUCUUGAACAUCUCGAAGUAGAUGAGUGUCCUGAACUGGAGUCGAUUUCCCUACUCGAUUUGUGCACUCCUAACCUGAGUUAUUUUUGCGUAGGAAAAUGCGACAAGAUGAAUUCAUUACCAGAACCAAUUAAUAAUCUCAGUGGCCUCCAAUCAUUAUAUAUUUGUGAUGUUCCGAAUUUGGAAUCUAUUGCAAAAGAGGGUUUGCCUAUCAAUUUAAGGACACUUGGUGUCGGCAAUGAAGAAGGGGUUUAUUGCAAUACAGAUAUCACCAAGUGGGGCUUGGACCGACUCACUUCUCUUUCAUAUUUGAAAAUUAAAGGUGAGUAUCUGGUUAAGAAGCUGAUGGAAAUACAAGUGCCUCUGUUGCCCAAUUCUCUUGAGUUUCUGAGAAUAGAAGGUGCACGUGAAAUACAACAUUUGGAUGGCAAGUGGCUUCAGCAUCUCACCUCUCUCAAAACUCUUGGGUUGUAUAAAUGUGACAAGCUCAAGUCACUGCCAAAAGAAGGGCUGCCUUCCUCAAUUUCAAGUCUAUACAUUUCGAGUUGCCCAAUGUUAAAAGCAAAUUAUGAGAGAAAGAAAGGGAAAGANNNNNNNNNNNNNNNNNNNNNNNNNNNNNNNNNNNNNNNNNNNNNNNNNNNNNNNNNNNNNNNNNNNNNNNNNNNNNNNNNNNNNNNNNNNNNNNNNNNNNNNNNNNNNNNNNNNNNNNNNNNNNNNNNNNNNNNNNNNNNNNNNNNNNNNAUUGCCACUCUGCGAGACUGUACUGAAUUGCUAGUUUAGUUUGUCUUCAUGAAGAGACUCUUCUAUACUUUGUGUAACGUUUUCUUUUUCCAAGCAUAAUAAUUGAAAGCUAUUUUGACUUAAUCUGUAGACACCAUAAGUAUAAGAAUUUUCAAAUUCAAAUAUUUUUUAUCAUAUCAACAACAAAAGUGUUUAAUUCUUUUCACAAAAAAAAAAAAAGUGUUUAACUCAGCUAUUCACCCUUUUAAUAAUUUUAAAAGCACAAACAUCCGAUUGAAUAACAAUAUUUUUAAAUUCCUUUAACUAAAUUGGCUAGAUCUUGAGAAUACUCAAAUGAAAACUUUUGUGAAUGAAUCUUUCUAAUGCAUCUGGUACAAAUCUAAAACUAUUUGGCAACUGAAAAUAAAUAAAUUUCUUUGGGGACAUCCGAAGAGAUUAAAUGGCUACUUUUGUGAACUUGGCAACAAAAAAUCCACUAGUUUGAGAUGUUAAGGGGUCAAAUCGCCAUGUUUUUGGUAUUCCACCACUUUUGCAAGGCCAAUUUCGGGCACCAUCUAUCUCUGCCAACUCUGCAUAAUAAUUUUAAACAUCAGAAAAGAAAAAACCUCAACAAUAUGUAUGUCGUAUAAUAACUAUUUUGAAAGAUAUGAAAACAAAUAAAUACAUUAUACAUAGCAUAAGUGAACAACCACCACCAACUCCAAGCACUGCCCUUUGGGGUUGGUUUAAUUGGGACGACAAUAUAGUAUAGUAUCAUAAACCAUGUUUAUAACACUAGACCAAAAAAAUAAAAAGCAUGGUAAAGCUGCUAAAAAUAUCAUAUUAGAUUAUUAGUAAUAUAUGGUUGACGCUUCAUACAUAGAGGCAUGAGAAUCCUACCAGCAUUUACAUUUUCCUUCAAGAAAUGUUCCACCACAUCUUCAUUCUGAGCCAAUGUUAAGCUAAUAAACAAAGAAGGUAUUUGUGAGAAUAAAUCACAUGAUAAUGUGUGUUCCUGUGCACGUUUUUUUUACUUCAUUCGAAAUACCAAAGAAUUUAAAAAUUUAAAGGUACCUGCAAGUGCUGUAAACAAGUGAGCCUCCAACUUUUAGUAGUCUGAAACCAUUAUGGAGAAGACUCAACUGCGGAAAGGAACGAAAAGUAUGUUAGUUUUAAAAGUAAUAUAUGUUAGUCACCAUGUGUAAAAUCCCAUGUUAUCUCUAUUACAUUCUUUAUGAAGCCUGGAAAUGUUAAAAGAGUUAGCUUGUAAGCUUAAGCUCGGUGCUUGAUCAUUUAGGAUCAGAUAUUCAAGUGAAGGAGCCUCAGUUCAGCAAUGAUAAGUUCCACCGUGAUUAACUUAAUAGAGCAUAGAGGGUUAUCAAUCAUGAUAUAAUCUGUCAUAACUAGUGAGAAAAGAUGCAUUAUGGAUCAAGGGAAUAAGGAUGAAUCAUUUGCCUGCAGAACAUGCAAGUUAUCAGUCCUCUCUGCAUCUAGUACUCGAUGUUGAAAAGUCCCCCAGCCCCAAUUUUCAAACUUGUGAAUAUGUUUAACUGAACCGUCAUGAGUACACUCUGCAUCCACAAGGACCUACACCAAAUCCAACAUAUUAUCAUGGUAGAAUAAAGCAAAUAACUAAGAAACAUUAACUCGAAUGAAAUACCAGUUACCUUGUCAUAUCCAUGACUUCCCAGCUCAACACCAGAUGCAGUCUUAUAUAGCUCUCCUUUAGCAAGACCAAUUACUCCCGAAUGGCGACCAUAAUAUAUGAGCUCAGGAGGCUGAGACUUGUAUAAAAAAGAUAGAUAUGGCUGAGACCAUAAUAUAUGAAAAUCCAAGAACAAGAAGAUAGAUAUCAAUAAGGAGUAUAAAAAAAGAUCAGGUGUUCAAAAAAUAAAUAUGCAUCAUAUAUAUUAAAGAUGAUUGGUAAUAUAAUAUAUGGUUGAUGCUUCAGACAUAACUUUUCUGCUGCAAAAAAAAAUAAAAAUAAAAAUAGAAGCAUGAGAAUCUUACCAGCAGAUAAAUUUUUCUUUAAGAAAUGUUACACCACAUUUUCAUUCUGAGCCAGAGUCAAGCUAUUCAAGAAAUAAUGUCUUUGUGAGAAUAAAUCACAAGUUAUAGUGUGUGUUUUUGUGAUUUAGUUUUCACAAGAAGCUUAAAAAUGGUAAGGUAGCUGCAAGUGCUGUAAGCAAGUGUCUCUGCACCUUUCAGUAGUUUAAAACAAUUAGUUAGAAGAUGAUUCGACCGUAGCAAUUUAAAGAAUUUGCGACAUCUCCAUCUAUCUUUCACUAGAAUUAAAACGCUACCUUGUGCAAUAUGCAAGCUCUACAAUCUACAGUAUCUUUGAAGUUUGAACAAUAAUUUACUGGGAAUUGAAAUUUCAAAUAUAACUUUUUUUUCUUCUCUUCAAAAGUUUGAAUCUUCCUGAGUAUUGAUGAUUAAAAUAUAAAAAAUGUUUGUUUUAAUUUGUGGCAUGUUACGAAUUUAAUUUUUUCAAUAAAAAAAUAGUAACUCUUUUCGCUCUUUCCCAAGAUGUAUUUUUUAGAAAAGAAAAAAAAACUUUUUUCGCUNNNNNNNNNNNNNNNNNNNNNNNNNNNNNNNNNNNNNNNNNNNNNNNNNNNNNNNNNNNNNNNNNNNNNNNNNNNNNNNGAAAUUCUCAUUUCUCAACCUCAACAUGAAGGUAUAUCUUCAUUCGGUCCCAUUCUAAUUUCUAAAACAUAAUUCCACCAAAAAAAGUCCAUAUAAAAAACUUUUGGCCACAAAUUUAAACUGAAUGUUUUUUGUUAUCUAGCACUACCGCCGUCCAAAAUAGACUUCCACUUCAUGAUUUGCAGGCCAAAGAGAAAUCGAUAACCAGGAUAGUGGAAAAACCAUGGUUACUUUUGUCUAAUACAGCUCAUAAUCUAACCAUAGUUGAGUAGUUAACAGUUGACUGUAAAGACCAAAAAGAAAGCACGGUAGACUUGCAUUGCUAACAGUUGACCAUAAAGACUACCAUAUUUAUAAUACAGCUCCUCUACCACGCUGCUUUUGUUGCUAACCUCCAUCUUCAAUUCGAGUGUGAGCUGAAGCUGAAUCGAAUCUAAGCUAAGGAAAGAGAAAUGGCUGCUGCAAUUGUGGGAGAAGCGUUGCUCUCAGCUGUUGUGGAAGCUUUAGUUGGCAAGAUCUCCACUGAGAUUUCGGAGUUCUAUCAGAGCAAGAAACUUGAUGAAUCGCUGCUUGAGAAGCUUAAAUUGACGCUGCUAAGUCUUCAUGCUUUUCUGGAUGAUGCUGAGGAAAAGCAGAUCAAGAUUGCUUCCGUGAAGGCAUGGCUUGAUGAACUCAUUCAAGCUCUCUUUGACGCCGAUGACUUGAUCGACGACAUCGCCACCGAAGCUCUCCGUCGCCAAGUGGAAGCCCGCUAUCAUCCUGUCAGUUCUAAGGUAUGACUUAUACGCUACAAGAAAAGAAAUUCAUUCACCGUAACAAGAGUAAUAUAAUUAUUAGAAAUAAGAGAGAAAUCUGAACAAAGUAUUUUGUGUAUUAUUAAAGUUGAAAAAUAUAACGUACAAAAGGUAUAUAUAGUAUUAUAACUGCUAGUAAAAUCAAAGUAAUAAAAGUAUAGAAUCCCACGAUUAAUAUACAGAUAUGCUAUAUAAAUAUAAAUGAUACUAACCGAUCUAAAUUGAUUUUAAUGAUUCCCUAAUGAUUUUCUAACAUCCCUCCUCAAACUCAAGUGAAAGUUAAGGAUACCAUCUUGAGUUUAGAUAACAAAGUCCGGAAACGAGUCGGGUGAUGAGCUUUCGUGAAGAUAUUAGCAGUCUGAUCUAGUGUUCCAACAGCAAUGAGACGAACAGCAUCAAUAACGAUACGUUGCCGAAUAAAGUGACAACCAAUCUCAAUGUGUUUGGUGCGUUCAUGAAACACAUCAUUAUGGGCAAUUUGAAUAAUACUGCGGUUGUCACAAAAAACAUCAGUAGGAGACGACUGAGGAGGACCCAAAUCUUCGAGAAGCCAACGAAUCGAGAUAACCUCAGCAGUGGUGUCAGCGAGGGCACGGUACUCAGCUUCUGUGCUUGAGCGAGUAGUGAACGUUUGCUUCUUAGCACGCCAAGAAAUGAGAGUGUCGCCAAGAAACAAAUAGUAACCAGUAGUAGUAGAACGACGAUCAGUGGGAUCACCAGACCAAUCAGCAUCGGAGUAUACCUGAAGGGACAAAGAGGAAUGGGCAGAAAAAUAAAGGCCAUGAAAUAGAGUGCCUUUGAUGUAGCAAAGAAUGCGAAAAACUGCCGCAUAGUGAGUAGUAUGAUGAGUUGAUAAGAACUGGCUAAGUACAUAAACUGGAUAGGUGAUGUUUGGUCGGGUGACAGUCAUGUAGACGAGACCUCCAACUAACUGUCGAUAGAGAGUCGGAUUAUCCAAACCAGUGCCAUCCAUAGGGAUUAAUCGAACAUUAGGCUCAAGAGAAGUAGACUUAUUAGUGCGACUAUCUGUAAUCCCAGCGCGAGCAAGAAGAUUUGAAGCAUACUUUGUCUGAGAGAGAUUCGUUUUUUUUUUUCCAGAAACAAUUGGUUUCUAGCUCUUUUAUUUUGUCUCCUCCGGCAGUACUUUGUCCUUAUUUUUUGCCUUUCUCCCGACGCCUUGGUUCGUCAUCGCCGCCACCCUUCUCCUCGUUGCCAGGUUUUCAACGCCUCCAAAAACACCGCCGGACGCGCCACCCAAAGUCACCUGUCCGCGUGAAGAAUUUCUCCCUCCAGACGCCUCUAGUGCCUUUGGAUCAGCACCCCAAAUCCAUGGUUCCUGUCACGCCACGUGUCUGACGGAAGCUCCAUCAGACCCGCGCUCCUGACCUGACCCGCUUCGCAACCCGCGUGGACCCGCCUCCUGUCAGCGCUGACGUGUUUGCUGAUGUGUCUUGGUCCUCCUCUCACGUGUCGCCACGUGUCAUUUCCCUGCUUACGUGGCACACAGUGGGACCCUCCCUAGAAUUUUUUGGUGCACUCUUUUCAAUUUUGCCCUCCGUUUUUUCGUUUCCGGCUCCAAAGUUGCAGUUUUUCUCUCCUUUCCUUGAUCUUUAUAUGUUUUUGCUACCACAGACAAAGGAUAAAUUCUGUCGAAAUUGUAACCGCUUUGGGCACCUCUUCUCCGUCUGUCCCUCUGUUGAAUGUCACACAUGCCACCAGAAAAGUCAUAUUAGCUACCAUUGUUCACAGCUGUUCUGUCAUUAUUGCAAGCUCUAAAGACAUUUGAUUGCUACCUGUCCUACUCGCCCACCACGUCCUGAGCCUGCUUCUGCUGUUGAUGCUACUACUGAAUCUACCACCUCUGCUCCUCUCAACCCAUCUUCUGUCUCUCUAUCUGAUAUUGCGUCUCUUCUUCAGCGUCUUCUCUCCCUUUCUGAUAAUACCCCUGCUGCUUUUUCGACUCCUCCAGGUAAUUUUAAAUGGUAUUUUGACUCGGGAUGCUUUAAUCACAUGUCUCCGUUGCGUAAUCUCUUUUUCUCGUCUCUGUCUACCACUACAAAUGCACCUUCUGUCAAUACUGCUAAUGGUUCCCUCUUGCACGCAACACACAAGGGUUCUAUCUCCCAAUCGACUCUUAAUCUUCCUGAUACUUAUUUUAUUCCCAACUUAAACUUUAAUCUUAUUUCUGUUGGUCAACUUGUUGAUUUGGGAUUUAAUGUCACUUUUUUCACUUCUGGUUGUCGUGUACAGGAUCGUCGGACGGGACAAAUCAUCGGGACUGGACAUAAAGUCGGAAGGUUGUUUGAACUCGAGAAUCUUCAUAUUCCUCCUGUACUAAAUCUCUGUGCUGCUUCUUCUCCAUCUACCCUUCACUUAUGGCAUCAACGUCAUCCUUUUGUGUCUCAGGGUGUAUUGGGUCAGGUUCCUAAUGAGUCUUUUGAUUACAUUUCUUGGCAAACUGCCAAACAACCUGCUUUAUCUUUUCACAAUAAUUCCUCUCUUGCUUGCUCUCCUUUUGAUCUUAUCCACUCUGAUGUUUGGGGUUCCGCUCCCACCGCUUCUAUGGGAGGAGCUCGAUACUUUGUUAUUUUUAUUGAUGAUUAUUCACGCUUUACUUGGGUUUAUUUGAUGACUAAUUGCCAUGAGUUACCUCAGAUCUAUAUUAACUUUGCCACUAUGAUUAAAACUCAGUUUUCCGAUGUCAUUAAAGUUUUUCAACGCGAUAAUGCUAUGGAAUACCGUGAUUCCAAACUUUUAGCCUUUCUUGUAUAACAGGGUACUUUGUCUGAGUUUUCUUGCCCAGGUACUUCUCAACAAAAUGGCCGAGCUGAACGUAAACACUGUUACAUUCUUAACUCUGUUCGUGCAAUGCUUCUUUCUUUUUCGUGUCCUGAGCGUACUUGAGAUGAAGCUGUUGUUACUGCUAUUCAUGUUAUCAAUAGACUUCCUUCUUCUGUUCUUAGUAAUGUUACUCCCUUUGAACGUCUUUAUCAUGCCUCUCCAGAUUACAGUUCCCUUCGAGUUUUUAGUUGUGUCUGUUUUGUUCUUCUUCAGCCUCAUGAGUACAGUAAACUUGAACCUCAUGCUCGCAUGUGUUGUUUUCUUGGUUAUGGCACUGAACACAAGUGUUAUCGUUGUUGGGAUCUUCUCUCUAAACGUAUUCGUAUAUCUCAUCAUGUUGUCUUCUGGGAGCAUCACAUGUUUUCUCGAUUUUUCUCCUUUGAGUCCAUUCUUCCCACUCAGUCACCUUUCUUCACUAACCCCAUUGUUGACCUUUUUCCUAGUGAAGAUUCUAUAAGUUCUAUCUCGGGUCAUCCUCUACAGCCUCCUGCUCUUCCGCCUUCUCCAUCUCCCGAUGAUUUUAAACCGGAUGGCGAUCCCGCUCCUACCGUCAUGCCUCCUCCUCCCACUCGUUCUUCUAGGGUAAGAAAUCCACCUCCUCAUCUUCUUGAUUAUCAUUGCUUUUCUACUAUUCUUCAUCAACAUGAACCUAAGUCAUUCAGAGAAGCCUCCGCAAAUCCAAAGUGGCAACAAGCAAUGCAGGAAGAAAUACAAGCACUUAAAAAAGCACACACUUGGGAUUUGGUUAAUCCUCCUUUUAAUAAGGAAAUUGUGGGCAGUAGAUGGGUAUGCAAGAUCAAGACUCACUUUGAUAUCAUAUUAGAAACAAGAGAGAAAUCUGAAGAAAGUGUUUUGUGCAUUAUUCAAGUUGAGGAAAAGUACAAUAUAAAGAGGUCUAUAUAGCUGCUAGUAGAAUCAAAAUAAUAAAAGUAUAGAAUUCUACAAUUAAUAUACAGAUAUGCUAUAUAAAUAUAUAUGAUACUAACCGAUCUAAAUUGAUUCUAAUGAUUCUCUAACAAUAAUAAAUAAGUUCUGGAAAUUUAUAUUUGGAACUGAUUAAUUUUCGAAAAAAAAUAUAUCAACAAAAUUUUUUAACAACUACUAUAUUAUUAAUUUAUUAUAUUAUAAUUUCCAACUUCUAUCUCUCAACUCUUAAUUCAGUUAUUGAUCUUUUAUUCAUCAUUAGGUGUUCAUCAAGACUUUUUGUUCAAGACUAUUCUUAUUUAGCGCGUGAAUUUUGUUCAAGACUAUUCUUAUUUUUCUAAACCUGCUUAUUGUUAUUGGUUGUAGUUACUUACUGUUACUCUUUAUUUAAUUUGGGUAUUUUAUGAUUUUGUUUUCUGGUUCGAUUGCUAAGCUCCUGAAUAUAGAUAAAAAUGAUAUACAAACUAGAUUCAUUAUGACACUAGAUUUUGAAUUUUUGAUAUAUAGUUUUCUUUAGCGACGUAUAGCGAUCAUAUCAUUAAAAAAAAAAUACAGGUUUUGAUUUUGGUUACUUCUGAAAACUUUUUAACCAUUAAGUUUUUUUCAUAUAUUUAAAUAAGAAAACAAAGAAUUAGGGCUAAUCUUGAAAUUUAAAAAAAAAAAAAAACAGAAUUGAUCCGAUGAUUGUUUAGACAUUGUUAUUCAUCAUAUUAUAUUGGUUUCGUUAUUUGAUAGAUAUGAGUUUUUCCAUUGAGUUUGCUUAUCAAAGAUUUAUAACCACUAAAUGAGUUAUUUAUUAGAAAUUUAAAGAAGAAAACAUAGAGAUUACACAAGUGAAUAUUUGAGCAUUUAUUAUUACGGAAGUUUAUAUCCGCGCCACUCAACUCUUUAGUAUAAGUGUAUAACAUUAAAGGUACAUUUUUUUUAAGUAUAAAUUAAAAUACAAUUAUUUUUUAGGUGAAAACUCAGGUGCAGUUGACUUCACGUGAAGUUGAUACCUGAGAGUCGUUAGAUAAAAAUUCAGUCAAAUCAGUCAAAUCAUCUGACGGCUCUCAAUAUCAACUUCGUGUGAAGUCGACUUCACUUGAGUUUUCCCCUUAUUUUUUACAUGGUGAAUUAUAAGGUAAAAAUGUAAGUUUAUAGAUCUUUCCUUUCAUGUGAUGAAAGAGAGAUUAAAAAUAAUGGGACCUACAUUUUGAAUAUUAAUAAAAUAAUAAAAAAUAACUAUAAAAGGAAUUUAAUUCUUUCUCUAUACAAUCCUAAUCUGUAUAGUAGAGUGCCCCUUUUUACAUACUCUAACUAUAACAAUCACUUUUAAGUUUUAAUACAAAGUAUCGAACAUGUACACAUAAAGCAUCUAAAAAAUGGUGCAUUUAACAUUUCACGUCCUUGAACUAAAUUUUAUGAUAAAAUUAAUGCAGCUAUUCAAUAAUCAUAUUUUUGUGCGAUUUAGGUGCGAAAGGUCCUCUCCUCUCCUUUUAAGUGGCCUUACCGAGAGAUUAAUUCCAAGAUGCAGAAAUUGUUUGAAAGAUUAGAGCACUUUGCACAGAGAGCACACAACCUUCCAUUGGAAAAAGGUGUUUCUAGCAAUGUUUGGCGUGCAACACCUACAAAUUCUGCUUUUGAUGACUCUGCUAUUUGUGGCAGAGAUGACGAAAGAAAGAAUCUUCGAGAGUAUUUGCUGUCAGAAGAUGUUGUUAUUGAUGGUGGCAGUAAAAUAGGAGUGCUUGCCAUUGUUGGCAUGGGAGGGCUCGGGAAAACGACCCUGGCUAAACUCUUAUACAAUGAUGCUCAAGUUAAAGAAAAGUUUGAUGUGAAAGCAUGGGCAUCUGUCUCCAAAGAUUUUGAUGUUGUCAAGUUGGCAAAAUCUCUUCUUGAAUCUGUCACAUCUGUAGCAACAACUUUGGAUAACUUCGAUACCUUGCGAGCAGAAUUGCAAAAGAAGUUGUCGGAUAAAAGAUUUCUGCUUGUGUUGGAUGAUAUAUGGAAUGCAGGAUAUGUUGAUUGGACCAAUCUGAUGCACAUUUUUAAUGUUGGCGAAUUGGGAAGCAAAAUCAUUGUUACAACACGACAUGAAAGAGUUGUGAGUGUUGUAAAUGCUACACAGACCUGCCCUCUAAAACCACUGGUGAUUGAAGAUUGUUGGACUUUAAUUUCAAAACAUGCAUUUGCAACACAUAAAUGCACUGAGCAGUCCAACCUAGAAGAAACUGGAAGAAAAAUUGCCGAAAGGUGUGGUGGCUUGCCAUUAGCUGCAGUUGCAUUGGGUGGUGUUCUUCGCACAAACUUAUCAAAUGAUUACUGGAAUAAAGUGUUAACUAGCAACCUUUGGAAUCUGACAAAAGAGGAUGUGCAACCAGCUCUGCUUUUGAGCUAUAAUUUCCUUCCCGCCUCUUUGAAACAAUGCUUUGCUUAUUGUGCAAUUUUCCCAAAAAACUCGAAGCUGCGAAAAGAGGCGUUAGUUCAGCUAUGGAUGGCACAGGGAUUUGUUUAUGUGUCCCAAAAUGAGAAAAGCAUUGAAGAAGUAGGCGGUGAAUACUUUGAUGAACUAGUGGCAAGGUCAUUGUUACGACGUUCUGCCGAUGGGGAACACUUUGAAAUGCAUGACCUCAUCAACGAUUUGGCAACCAUGGUUUCUUCCCCAUAUUGUAAGAGGCAUGACAAGGAAACGCAACUUGGAAAUCUAAACAAAAUUCGUCAUUUAUCUUAUGAGAAAAGUAUGUCUAACCAUUUUGACGAACUUGAUUCCCUUCAUGGAUUGAAAGGCUUACGUACACUCACAGCAUUACCGUUAGAAUUUGGUUACAUGAUCUUCCGCCAUUACCUAGAGAAUGAGGUAUUGCAUGAGUUGUUGGUAGCAUUGAAACAGUUGCGGGUGUUAUCCCUGUCAUCCUACAACAAUAUCACUGUUUUGCCGAAUUCUAUUGGCCAUAUAAAGCAUUUGCGAUACCUAGAUCUAUCUUGCAGUGGAAUUGAAAGGUUGCCUCCUGCAAUAUGCAAGCUCUACAAUCUACAGACCUUGUUGUUAACUUAUUGUAGGGAUCUUACUGAGUUGCCUGAGGAGAUGGGAAAAUUGGUGAAUCUACGCCACCUUGCUAUUGAUAAUUGUAUAAAUCUUACUGAGUUGCCCAAGGAGAUGGGAAAAUUGGUGAAUCUACGCCACCUUGAUAUUAGUUGGUGUUGUGCUCUUACUGAGUUGCCUAAGGAGAUGGGAAAAUUGGUGAAUCUACGUCGUCUUGAUAUUGAUGGUACCGGAUUGCAGGAGAUGCCCGUAGAAAUAGCCAAACUGGAAAAUCUGCAAAGUUUGAGUCGUUUUAUUGUCAGCAAACAACAACAUGGACUGAAGCUUGCAGAAAUGAGAAAAUUUCCCCAUUUACAAGGUCAACUCCGCAUCUCAAAUCUAGAAAAUGUUUUUGAUCCGUCUGAUGCUUAUCAAGCCAAUUUGAAGGAGAAAAACCAAAUUGAGGAGUUAUCAUUGGAAUGGAGUGAUUCCAUCUUGGAAGACUCCCAACAAGUUGUACUUGAACAUCUGCAGCCCUCAACUAGUCUGAAGAAACUGAGUCUUAAAUGCUACGGUGGAUCUACUUUCCCAAGCUGGUUGGGUGAUUCCUCAUUUGGCAACAUAGUGGGUUUGAGGAUUGAAGAUUGUGAUCAUUGUUCUUCAUUGCCACCUCUUGGACGACUACAUAGUCUAAAAGAACUCUUCAUUUCAGGUAUGAGAUCAGUGAAGAGUAUUGGGUCUGAAUUUUACGGAGGUAAUUCCCCUUCUUUCCAACCGUUUCCCUCCUUGGAGACUUUGAGUUUUGAGUUUAUGUUAGAGUGGGAGGAAUGGAACAUGAUAGAUGGUAUAACUAGUGAGUUCCCCCGUCUAUCACACUUAUCUCUUUCUUUCUGUCCGAAGCUGAAAGGAACUUUACCCAGCAAUCUUCCUUGUUUGGUUACACUUGAAGUAAUGUAUUGUCGUGUACUUGAAUCAGAGUUUUCAGGAGAAGUGGAUAACAGAAACAUAAUGAGACCAUUGAAUCUAUUCAAUUUUAACUCUCUUCAAGAUUUAUCUCUCAAUACAAUUCCUUCCCUGACGUCCUUCCCGAGCAAUGGUCUACCCAAAGCGUUAAAGACACUUUCUAUCAGAGAUUGUGAGAGCCUUGAAUUCCCAACUCAUGAGUUCCUUCAGAGUUGCAAGGCACUUGAGGAUUUGUCCAUAAUGAGUAGCUGUUGCUCGCUGACGUCAUUUCCCUUAGGUUCUCUCCCUGUGCUCAAGCGUCUUCUACUUAGCAAAUGUAAAAAAUUGAAAUCAAUUUCAAUUUUGGAAGAAGAAGCAGCAAGCCAAUCUCUCAUGUUUCUUGAACAUCUCAGAGUAGAUGAGUGUCCUGAACUGGAGUCGAUUUCCCUACUCGAUUUGUGCACUCCUAACCUGCGUUCUUUUUGGGUAAAGAAAUGCGACAAGAUUAAUUCAUUACCAGAACCAAUUAAUAAUCUCAGUGGCCUCCAAACAUUAUGGAUUUGUGAUGUUCCAAAUUUGGAAUCCAUUGCAGAAGAGGGUUUGCCUUUCAAUUUAACGACACUAAUUGUCGGCAAUGAAAAAGGGGUUUAUUGCAAUACAGAUAUCACCAAGUGGGGCUUGGACCGACUCACUUCUCUUUCAUAUUUGAGUAUUCAAGGUGAGUAUCUGGUUAAGAAGCUGAUGGAAAUACAAUUGCCCUUGUUGCCCAAUUCUCUUGAGAUGCUGGAAAUAGAAGGUGCACGUGAAAUACAACAUUUGGAUGGGAAGUGGCUUCAGCCAUCUCACCUCCCUCAAAACUCUUGAGUUGGUAGCAUGUGACAAGCUCAAGUCACUGCCAAAAGAAGGGCUGCCCUCCUCAAUUUCAAGUCUAGAAAUUCGGAGAUGCCCAANNNNNNNNNNNNUGCAAACCCAUGCCUUAAUAUAUUCUUUUUUAUUUUUUCAAUUGUAUUUCUGUUAUUAGAUUUUUAUUUUGUUGAGUUUGUAUAAAUGUGAUUUUAUAUGCAUAAACUAGUUCAGACAUUGAUUUCAAUUUUAAAUUUCAUGAGGAUGAGAAAGGUUUCAGUUUGAUCUGAUUCUUGUUGAACACUUCUGUUGCAACUUGCAAGUGGCCCAACAUUCAAAAUCCAAUCAUUCCAACGAGACUGAGCUGAAUUGCUAGUUUGGUUUGUCUUCAUGGAGAGACUCUUUUAUACUUGUGUAACGCUUUCUUUUCCCAUCAUCAUAAUAAUUAAAAGCUACUUUGACUUAAUCUGUAGACAGCAUAAAUAUAAGAAUUUUCACAUUCAAAUAUGUUUCUAUCAUAUCAACAAAAGUGUUUAAUUCAUAAUAAUUUGUCAAACAACAGAAAAGAAAAACCUCAACAACAUGUAUGUGGUGUGAUAACUAUUUUCAAAGACAUGAAAGCAAAUAUAUUAUCUAUUAUAGUAUAGUAUCAUAAACCAUGUUUAUAACACGAGACCAAAAAAACAAAAACAAAAAGCAUGGUAAAGCUGCUAAAAAGGAACUUAUGUAGAAAAUUAACUUUCAGCAUAGCCGGCCUUUGUAUAUCUAUUAUUUAAUUUAUGUUCCUUUUACUAGAUCAUAUAUAUUACCAGCUAGUAAAGUUUUGUAUAAAUUUGAUUUUGUAUUCAUAUCUCAGUUCAAAACAUUUUAGAAUAAUGUCGUAUAUAUUAAGUCGUAUAUAAAUUUGAUUUUGUAUUCAUAUCUCAGUUGAAAAUAUUUACGGGCAAUAAACUAUGUGAAAAUUCAGAAGGGAGCCUGAGUUCAGCAUUGACAAAUUCCACCGUGAUAAGACCAUAGAAGGUCUUCUAUACACAAAAAAAAAUUGUUUGAUACAAACACCAUUAAUAGUCAUGUGUUGAGUAAUAAAUCAAGGCAUAAUCAGUUGUCAAUUGUUAAAAAAAAUUGAGAGUGUAAAGUGUGAUCUUUAACCCUUCAUUGUUCUCUCUCUCAUAUUGAUUUUUUGUCCCACUUAUCACGUACACUAUUCUGUGCCUUUUAUUCUUAGUAAGAUUGGAUGAGUUUAUUGACAACAAACAAUUCAAGUGUAAAAUAUGGUGUGCCUUAUUAGCUUGGUUUGACACUAUUGGUUGACAUAAUCACAUUGGAGAAUUAUACAUAUCCCAUGCUAAGAUACAAGUAAUUGUCCUAUAGCCAAUAAUUUAUCUGCAUCUAUCUCAUCCCAUCCAUCAACCUUAUUGAUUUGAAAAGCCAGCCAAAGGCCACUUGACAUCUGAUCUACUAUUAAAAUCGCAAAUCAACACACUGCUUUUGGGAAAUAAUAAACAACACAUAGUAACACAUGCACUGAUGCAAUUUUAAAUUUUUAAUUAAUCCACUUUGAAAAAUAAGCACUGAAUGAAAACGGUAGUUUAUUGAUAACCAUAGUCUGUAAUACCGUAGUUAGUGUUUUAAUUAUUUUUUAUGGAAUAGCUGAUUAGUGAUAAACAUAGUUAACAACAAAGAAAGACCAAAAGGAAACAAAGAAGACCAAAGUCCAAAACCAUAGUUUGUUGAUAACCAGAGUGUAAAAACCGUAGUCAUUAGUUAAUAAUUUUUUAAUGCAAUUGCUGGUAGCCAUGGUUGAAACUAAUCAUCAAAAGGAAGCAAUGAAGAAAGAAAGAGAAGCACAGCGUUGACUUUUAAUUUGUUGCAAACCUCUCUGUCUAAGGGAAAAAGAAAUGGCUGCUGCUGUUGCUGUUGUUGUGGGAGAAGCGUUGCUCUCAGCUGCCGUGGAAGCAUUGGUUGGGAAGAUCUCCACUGAGAUAUCGGAGUUCUAUCGGAGCAAGAAUCUCGAUGAAUCGCUGCUGGAGAAGCUGAAAUUGACGCUGCUAAGCCUUCAUGCUUUUCUGAAUGAUGCUGAGGAGAAGCAGAUCAGCAACGCUGCUGUGAAGGCAUGGAUGGAUGAACUCACUCAAGCUCUCUUUGAUGCCGAUGACUUGAUCGAUGAUAUCGCCACCGACGCUCUCCGUCGCAAAGUCGAGGCCAACUAUCGUCACCGUCAAACUGUCACGGCUAAGGUAACAUACAUUAGCUAUGAAUAUGGGACAAAAUAAUACUUCAAAAGUUUUUUCUUGAAUUAGGUAUGAAUUUAUAUGGUGAGGUAUGACUUCUCUGCCAAUUUUGAACCAAGUAGCUUCAAGUAUGAGUAGAAAAAGCUAAGAAUGAGUCUCUGUUAUUUAAAAUUGUUGAUAAAAUUAUUGUAUUUCGUAUGUACGAAUUCAAUAUUUAUAUUUGUGCAACUUAUAUCAGGUGCGGAAGGUGCUUUCCUCUCCUUUCAAGCGGCCUUACCAAGAGAUCAAUUCUCAGAUGCAGAAAUCAUUCGAAAGAUUGGAGCAUUUUGCUCAAAGAGCACACAACCUUCCAUUGGAAAAGGGUGUUUCCCGUAGUGUUUGGCGUGCAACACCUACAAAUUCUGCUGUGGAUGAUUCUGCUAUUUGUGGGAGGGAUGAUGAAAAACAGAACCUUAGAGAGUAUUUACUGUCAGAAGAUGCUGUUGCUGAUGGUGGCAGUAAAAUAGGAGUUCUUGCCAUUGUUGGCAUGGGAGGGCUCGGGAAAACGACCCUCGCUAAACUCUUAUACAAUGAUGCUCAAGUUAGAGAAAAGUUCCAUGUGAAAGCAUGGGUAUCUACCUCGAAAGAUUUUGAUGUUGUCAAGCUGACAAAAUCUCUUCUUGAAUCAGUCACGUCUGCAGCAACAAAUUUGGAUAACUUCGAUACGUUGCGAGCUGAAUUGCAAAAGAACUUAUCUGGUAAAAGAUUCUUGCUUGUAUUGGAUGAUAUAUGGAAUGUAAAGUAUGUUGAUUGGACCAAUCUGAUGCACAUUUUUAAUGUUGGGCAAUUGGGAAGCAAAAUCAUUGUUACAACUCGACAUGAAAGAGUUGUGAGUGUUGUAAAUGCUACACAAACCUGCCCUCUAAAACCACUGGUGAAUGAAGAUUGUUGGACUUUAAUUUCAAAACAUGCAUUUGCAACAGAUAAAUGCACUGAGCAGUCCAACCUAGAAGAAACUGGAAGAAAAAUUGCCGAAAGGUGUGGUGGCUUGCCAUUAGCUGCAGUUGCAUUGGGUGGUGUUCUUCGCACAAAGUUAUCAAAUGAUUACUGGAAUAAAGUGUUAACUAGCAACCUUUGGAAUCUGACAAAAGAGGAUGUGCAACCAGCUCUUCUAUUGAGCUAUCAUUUCCUUCCAGCUUCUUUGAAACAAUGCUUUGCUUAUUGUGCAAUUUUCCCAAAGAACUCGAAGCUGCAAAAAGAGAAGGUAGUUCAGCUAUGGAUGGCACAGGGAUUUGUUUCUGUGUCCCAAAAUGAGAAAAGCAUUGAAGAAGUAGGCGGCGAAUACUUUGAUGAACUUGUGGCAAGGUCAUUGAUACGACGUUCUGCGGAUGGGGAACACUUUGAAAUGCAUGACCUCAUCAACGAUUUGGCAACAAUGGUUUCUUCCACAUAUUGUAAGAGGC
rnacentral:lncRNA from 1 species